UAUGCACAGCCUAGGUAAGAUGGUAUGCACUUAUGCACAGCCUAGGUAAGAUGGUAUGCACUUAUGCACAGCCUAGGUAAGAUGGUAUGCACUUAUGCACAGUCUAGGUAAGAUGGUAUGCACUUAUGCACAGUCUAGGUAAGAUGGUAUGCACUUAUGCACAGCCUAGGUAAGAUGGUAUGCACUUAUGCACAGCCUAGGUAAGAUGGUAUGCACUUAUUCACAGUCUAGGUAAGAUGGUAUGCACUUAUGCACAGCCUAGGUAAGAUGGUAUGCACUUAUGCACAGCCUAGGUAAGAUGGUAUGCACUUAUUCACAGUCUAGGUAAGAUGGUAUGCACUUAUGCACAGCCUAGGUAAGAUGGUAUGCACUUAUUCACAGUCUAG